rnacentral:piRNA from 1 species
UGAGAUUUUAUCAUCCUCUGCCUCUGUUC